UACGGAGGGGGCCAGCGUUGUUCGGAAUCAUUGGGCGUAAAGGGCGCGUAGGCGGCUUUGUAAGUCCGUUGUGAAAUCCCUCGGCUCAACCGAGGAACUGCGACGGAUACUGCUUGGCUUGAGUCCCGGAGAGGGUAGCGGAAUUCCCAGUGUAGCGGUGAAAUGCGUAGAUAUUGGGAGGAACAUCGGUGGCGAAGGCGGCUCUCUGGGGACGGUACUGACGCUGAGACGCGAAAGCGUGGGGAGCGAACAGG
rnacentral:rRNA from 1 species